AUGCACGCUGGCGGCGUGCCUCAUCCCUGCCAGUCGCGCGAACAGACGAGGAGCUUGCUCCUCUGACGUUAGCGGCGGACGGGUGAGUAACACGUGGAUAACCUACCUAUAAGACUGGGAUAACUUCGGGAAACCGGAGCUAAUACCGGAUAAUAUAUUGAACCGCAUGGUUCAAUAGUGAAAGACGGUUUUGCUGUCACUUAUAGAUGGAUCCGCGCCGCAUUAGCUAGUUGGUAAGGUAACGGCUUACCCAGGCGACGAUGCGUAGCCGACCUGAGAGGGUGAUCGGCCACACUGGAACUGAGACACGGUCCAGACUCCUACGGGAGGCAGCAGUAGGGAAUCUUCCGCAAUGGGCGAAAGCCUGACGGAGCAACGCCGCGUGAGUGAUGAAGGUCUUCGGAUCGUAAAACUCUGUUAUUAGGGAAGAACAAAUGUGUAAGUAACUAUGCACGUCUUGACGGUACCUAAUCAGAAAGCCACGGCUAACUACGUG
rnacentral:rRNA from 1 species